AUUUAUGUAGUUUAAGAAAAAAACAUUUCAUUUUCAAUGAAAAAAAAAGAUAAUCUUCAUAAAUU
rnacentral:tRNA from 1 species